CCAUUAAGUAACAGAAGAUAAGGCUUACUGAUUGACUGGACAUUCUAUAUUUAACAUUUGUUUUUCUCAGAAUUGAGGCCGGGCUUUAAAAUUGCCUUCAUGCUUUCCUAAUCAUCUUGUCCCCAUCGAUUCCAUGAUGAAAAAGUAUUUUCAGUGCUCCUACUUCUGUAUUUCUUCUCACAUGCUGUGUUCCCUGCUCUCCUGAAACUGAUGGUGGCUAUUUCAUUGAUUGCAAAAUUCCUUUCUUUAAAAAUAAAAAUGGAAAUAUGAUCACUGCAAUUACAAAAUCAUGGGAUAUAAAACUCAAAAGUAAAUGCUAAAUCUAAGGUCCCUCUUCUACACCAGUUUCAAACUAUUUUGCCCGGCAAUUAAUGACAGAGGUAAGAAAGGACCUUUGUCAUUACAUGCAAUUUCUUUGUCGUGACAUGGGGUCCUUUUACAAACGUGGCUUAGAUUAAGAGGCAAUGCACGGUGAGGAUGGUGGCUCUUCCUGAGAACGCCAUCCAAGUCCAUUACAACUUGCAAAGGUACUCAGGAAAGCACUGCAGACACGUGUGAGAAAGAAAGUCAGAGGGGUGAGCACACCCAAUCCUGACAACGACUUUUCUCAGACCUUUGCUCAUGGUACUAAGUCAAGACAUUAAAAAAUGUUCCUUCAUCUACUUUGGCUGGUGAGAUCUGCUUUUAGUCCCCAGGUUUUUAGAUCUUUGUAUGAAUUCAAGGAGAAACCUUUAUGAAUAGAGCACAUUUCAAACGGGCUAUAGAAACGACGGGGAAUAUUUUCAACAAAACAAAGGGGCAGCCUGUGUACCUGUCCCCUUUGCUCAAUGCACAAAAGGGCCUCAGUCAGACUCAACAAUUUGGAAGCAAUUCCUCUGCUGUUUUGCCACGUCCUCUCAAAUUCCGCCAUUUACCAAGCAGGCCACUCUGCAGGUAGUUCUUCAAACCUAAGCUCUCCAUUAGCAUGCUGAGGUAUAACACAGUGGCUAAGACUUUACACUCCUGUGUCACUCUGAUAAUAAAAUAUGAACCUGUCCCUAGCAUCUACUUAAUAUAAACACAUGAACAGCAAUAGUUAUCAUCUCUGUGUAAUUUGAGAUGCUCUACAAGUAAAGGUCUAAAAUAUCUUUGGUAAAAUUCACUUUUUCAUGCCCAUGGCCUUUGAGGUGAACAAGUACUUUCUUCAGCAUGUAAAUGAGUUUCAUGAAGUCAUCAGUAAUCAAGUUACUUUCCUGGCAAAACUGUUAGAUGAGAUAAAUUUUGGUGGAAACGUGAGAGUUGACGGGGUAGAGAGUAGAAAGCGCGGCCUGAAUUCUGCAUGCGGGUCAUUGUCUUUGAAGACCCUCUUGGUAGAGUCUGUGGUAAGGGAAGGGGGAAGGGGGCCACAGGGAGGUCCAGGGAGGUGUGCUCAGACGACACUUGGGGUGGGCUCUGGUCGGUGAGGAGGAAAGAAAGAGGAGUUUGACGAGUUAGGGGAGAACCCAAACAAGUUAUUUGCUCAAAACCUGUCCCACAGCUUCUUGCCUUAGAAUUGAGCCUGAACCUUAUCUUGCCUGGAAUCCUCAUAAGACAUUCAGACGCUCUUAGGUGGACCUCGACAUUCAGCCACUGAACACCUGCUUCACCCAGUCCCUGCUGGACUCUGCCUGUCCUUUUCCGCACACUCCCUGAUUUCAAACAGUCUCUCCUUUGUUGACAGGUCCAUGGUGUCUCACGUUUCCUUCUCAGCUGCUGUCACCCCCCCCCCCCGCCCCCAGCAGCCUGUGGCUUCACCUAUAGCUUUUGUUCCCUCUCCGUUUCCUCCCUCCCAGCCCCACCCUCCAUCCCUGGUCCAACUUCUCGGUGACCAUGGAUUUUACCUCUUCCCUGACAUAACCUUGCAGUUUCUCCUUCUGAAUCAAUUUAGAAAGAUUUGUGCCAGUUUAUGGAAUAGAGGGGUUUCAUCAUAGGAAAGGAACUUAUAAUAUGUUAUCAACCAACUGAAGUAGAUGCUGGGAAGCAGCAGAAAUCCAGCCUGACAAUAUUACUCGUAACUUUAUCUGGAGAUCCUUGUUGCAGCCCCGUUUUCCGCUAAGUAAUAUGUAUCACCUAUGUAAAUUCCGCCUCACCCCAGAGGAUGCUGUGUUUUAUAAAGAAGUAGAAGAAAUUUGAAGCCUGGGAUUCUGUUUCUCCAUUUUCUGGAUGUCAGGACAGUACCAAAAUAAUAUGAGUUGUAAUAGCCGGUUGUUCUGGUUUAGAAAGAGAAUAACCUCAUUAUUAAGAAAUAGCCUGAAAUAAAAUGUGUUUUUGGUACUGUAGAGAAAUCAUGCAUGGGAGGUAGACUCCAGGUCCAGAUCUGUCCUCUUCAUCGCGAGUGGCUGAUGUGCGUAACAUUUCUCUGAACCUCAGCGUCUUUAAGGGUGACCUGGGGUUACCGAGGCUACUGAGUUAUCGCGAGGUUUGAACGAGAUAGGGAUGGGCAGCCGUCUUGCACCGUGCUGGGCUCACAUCAGUUAUUCAGUAAUUAUCUCCUGAAUCUGGAUCGCAUGAGCACUGUUGCCCCUUCUGUAAAAUACCAGAGCACAUGCUUUAACUUUCUCAGAGAGCUUCCCAGUUGCAUAACAGCAGGGCAGACAGCACGUGGUUCCCAAUAAAUACGGAUGUCACCACUAUUUCCUACCAUUAAGCCACCUGGGCCACUUCUCUGUCCUUUCACCACUUCCCCCAAACCCCAGGGGCUUUUCUCUUUCACAACUGUUACCAAAUGGAAAAUCCCCUAGUCCUUGUUCUCAACACACACAUACACUCUUAGGUGCACGAUACAUACACUUCCAGCUCACGUUAAGAAUUUUUUUGCUAUUUAAUCUGAGGAACCAACCUAAAGGAAACAAGAGUGACAAGCUCGGCAAAGUUAACAGGUUAAAGAAAUUCACAAGGCGCUUAUCAUACUUAUUCUUUGUCUUAACUGGUAUGUACCUGCUUUACUGAGACAGCUCUUAAGGUUUCUCUUGUUCUUAUCUUGCAAAUCAGCCUGCCCGUCCCUGUCUUGGUUGGACGUCAGCCCCCGUCGCUCAGAGUUUACCUUGAGCGGGACCCGGCUUCACGCAGAGGCUGGAUAUCAUGAGAUCUUAACAUCUCUCUAAGAGACCACAGUUCAAUUUCCCCUGAUUGUGUAAGGACAGCACUUCCCCAGUGGUCUCUAAAAUCCUCCAGUGGAGAAUUAGUGACUGACUGUUUUCAUUCUUCUUCUUCUUUUUUUUUUCAUUUUAAAAAAAUUUGAGCUUCUAUAUGUGCUAGAGCUACCCACCUUCAGGAAUCAGUGAAGAGUCCCACCCUCGUGGGAUCGGCAUUUGAGAGUUGGGCAUCGAUAAAUAAAAGGAGAUCAUCACCCAGACCGUGGCGUAAACACCAAGGAGAAAAGCAAAAUGAAGUACGAAGUCGGAGAGUGUCUGAAACCAGAGGCGAUGGUACCAUUUCACGAGGGUGACGGGAGAGAGCUGGGUCCGGGACCCGACAUUGGAGCUGAGAGAUGCUCUUCAAUUCUCCUGGCUCUCGCUGUGGGUAAAAAUGCUCUCAGCUCACGCCUUGCUGCCCUAUUUUCGUUUGUUUGCGGCGCUCUCGUCAAGGCUCUCACUGUUGAUAGGUGCCGUGUGGCUGCUGCAUCCUUUGUGCUCAGCUAAUCUUAAGGCCUGGUUCUCACAAGAACCUAUCAUUACAGGAACUCAUCUGCAUUUUAUCACUGAAUUCAAGCUUUCCUGAUCAGUUAAGAACCUGGUUUUACCUGGUUUACCUAACAGCCUGCUAACCCAUCUCUUGCCACUUUCAUCCCGCGUGGUAUUUCUGAAAUGUAAAUAUCCUUCUCCUGUUACCACGGGGCACAGUCCAAGUUACACAACAUGGUCCUCCAGUAGCGCGGUUAAAAGGCAGGAAAAUGGAGAUCAAAGAUUUGGAUUCCAGUUACGGUUCUACCACAUCUUAGUUGUAUGAUAUCUGCAUCUUAACAAAUAUCUUUAAGCCGCAUUGUGUUUAUUUAAAACAUAAGGACAAUAGCUGACUUAUUUCAAAAUGUUUUUGUAAGGAAUGAAUGGCAUAAUAUAAAAGGCUACAAUGGCUACCACCUUGGAAGCUGUCCUUAUAAUCUUCCUUUAACCCUUAAUUUGAACGAACGUUUCUCCUCUGUUUCUCGCAAUAGCUUAUAAUCCUGGGUCCUGAUGGAGUCUGGGAGAGAUGGAUGUCUGGAUUACAAUCUGAACAAUGAGGACAAGUCUAAGAGGAAAGGGAAAACGAGGUUCCCAGGCAGAAGAACAGCAUUUGCAGAGGCUCCGUGACUCAGAGAUGAGUAGGGUGUGCUUUCCAAAGAACUGAAUACGAGGCAGGGGGUGGAGUGGUGGUAGGGUCGGGGAUUUGAAGCUGGAGAGAGAGAUAGAGACAGAGCAUAAAUGACCUACUAGGUAGAAUUAAAGAUUUGGGUCUUUCUUCCAAGAGCAGUGGAAGCAAUUAAAGUGUCCUAACCAAGGGCACAGCAUGACAAGGCUUGCAUUUUUAAAAGAUCACUCUGGCUGUGCCACGGAAAAUUGGUUGGAGAAAUUUCAAAGCAAACAUGGGAAGGUAAGGCAGAAGCCACUUCUCACUACAGCCUUUCCCCACCCCACACCUGGACGAGGGUCACGGGAACUUGGACCGACCAAUCAGAACUUCACAAACAAGACUUUGAUUCCUGAGGACGUGACAGAAGCAUGCUGAAUCCUAUGAUUCCAGGCAACUACCAAGAGUCAAGAGGCCAGUGGUGUGAUGGUGCACAUCUCAGUCACCCAGAGAAAGACACAAGCCGUGGCUUCCAGGGAGACAGUUCCUGAGGUAUGUUUCGACUAACAGUCAAAUGAGUGGGAAACGGUCCUGGCUGACGGCUGAUGAGCAGAAAACGGAAUAGAAACCAGGAUGAAUUCAAAGGAGGAUUUGGUAAACAGAUAUGAUAACCUUCUGAAAAAAGAAUGUUACACACGGUGGU